rnacentral:rRNA from 1 species
UAGGGAAUAUUGGACAAUGGGCGCAAGCCUGAUCCAGCCAUGCCGCGUGAGUGAAGAAGGCCCUCGGGUUGUAAAGCUCUUUUGUCCGGAAAGAAAAGCAUCGGGCUAAUACCCUGGUGUUCUGACGGUACCGGAAGAAUAAGCACCGGCUAACUUCGUGCCAGCAGCCGCGGUAAUACGAAGGGUGCAAGCGUUACUCGGAAUUACUGGGCGUAAAGCGUGCGUAGGUGGUUUGUUAAGUCUGAUGUGAAAGCCCUGGGCUCAACCUGGGAAUGGCAUUGGAAACUGGCGGACUCGAGUGCGGUAGAGGGGUGUGGAAUUCCCGGUGUAGCAGUGAAAUGCGUAGAGAUCGGGAGGAACACCAGUGGCGAAGGCGACACCCUGGACCAGCACUGACACUGAGGCACGAAAGCGUGGGGAGCAAACAGGAUUAGAUACCCUGGUAGUCCACGCCCUAAAACGAUGCGAACUGGAUGUUGGGUGCAACUUGGCACUCAGUAUCGAAGCUAACGCGUUAAGUUCGCCGCCUGGGGAGUACGGUCGCAAGACUGAAAACUCAAAAUGAAAUUGACGGGGGUCAUAGCUGUUUUCCU